rnacentral:rRNA from 1 species
AGGACGAACGCUGGCGGCGUGCUUAACACAUGCAAGUCGAACGGUAAGGCCCUUCGGGGUACACGAGUGGCGAACGGGUGAGUAACACGUGGGUGAUCUGCCCUGCACUUCGGGAUAAGCUUGGGAAACUGGGUCUAAUACCGGAUAUGACUACGAAUCGCAUGGUUUGUGGUGGAAAGCUUUUGCGGUGUGGGAUGGGCCCGCGGCCUAUCAGCUUGUUGGUGGGGUGAUGGCCUACCAAGGCGACGACGGGUAGCCGGCCUGAGAGGGUGUCCGGCCACACUGGGACUGAGAUACGGCCCAGACUCCUACGGGAGGCAGCAGUGGGGAAUAUUGCACAAUGGGCGCAAGCCUGAUGCAGCGACGCCGCGUGAGGGAUGACGGCCUUCGGGUUGUAAACCUCUUUCAGUAUCGACGAAGCGCAAGUGACGGUAGGUACAGAAGAAGGACCGGCCAACUACGUGCCAGCACGCCGC